UUUUGCGCAAUCGCGGCAUUCGUUCAACUUUUGUCUAUCGGUAACAAAAAAAUAGAAAUAAAAAAAGUGAAGCAAAAAGUAAAAUGCGUUGUACGCUACGUAGAGAAAAAAAAGAGUGAAACCGUGGUAAUCCAGUGGAAGUUAAUUAUCUUAACGGCGUUGUACCAAUAAUUCGAAACAUAGAGCUAGUAAAUUAAGGACAGUUCCCUGAUUCAACGUAAUGGCUUACUUCCCAUUCGGCUUUGCAACCAGUUUCAUAUGCUAUUCGCGAUGAAAUAGGUUUCAUUGUAAGGUGACAUGAGGCGAUUAGAGUUCUAGCUAUUUGUUUCAGGUUUUAAGUAGUUAUAAUGUGGAUAAACGUUUGCUGGUUAGAUUGGUAUUUGACGAGUGAGGUUUUCAACCAAAGAAGGUUCACGAGUUCUUCUGAAAACUUUUAUUUACUUUUAAGAGGUUAGUUUACCCUGAGCACGUGGGAGUCAUGGGUAACUUUAAUAGUUUUUAAAGGGAAAAUUAUGAAGUAAAUCAAAAAUCUGUUUGGAAUACAUAAGCGUACAUAUCUGCAGAAAAAUAAUUUUUUUUUUAAUGAAAAAAAAUGCUUAUCAUUUUUACACAAAUCAAUAUUUUACAUAUAUACAUAUGUAUAUACCUUUCUACGCAUUUGAGACGAUUAAUUCGUUUUUAUUAUUUUAGUGGUAUCAUUUUGGUUGGCGAUAUUGCGCUGUGUGAGUCAGACAGAUUUUUAAGUUAACCAUACAGAAAAUCAACAUCUACUAUCGUUAUCUAUAUUUUCACACUUGAAUUUUUACGCUACAGACGUUUAAUUUUUAAAUUGAUUUUGAUUAAAUAUCAUUAGACUAUUGUCCCGACGAUCUUGGUAUAGUUAUCGUGUCUAACUUAUCUUUGAUCCACGGUUUAUAACUUUGAUAAGAUGGCGCUCUUUAUACAAUUACAUUUCAUUAUAUGUAUAUAUAUAUCAUUAGUUUCCUAAGAAAGUAACAGUAAUAAAAAUAGUAAAUUUUUCAGCAAACAGUAAGUUCACUACUAUUUCGCAAAGAAAGUAUUUUUUUUUACUGUUAAAAAAGGCAUAAGUUAAAUUACUAAUAAAAACAAAGGUAAUAUUGUUGUUGUUACUGCUAUUAUUUCUGUAACAUAAUUUUAUGGGUAGUUAUAAGAUAAUUACUUCCCAUCUUAGUAGAUGGUGAUUACUUUUUUACUUAAAUUCUUGCUUAUUUUUGCAAAUAUCUCAGAAAUGAGGAUUCAGCAAAACCAAUAGUAUUUUCACAAAUUAAGAGACUACACGGAUAACAGUAGUUUUAUCGAAUAUUAAAAUAACAUGUGGACUUGGUAAGAGAAUUUAUAUUUAAAAGCGAUUACUUAGUGUUAGAUGUGCAAGGGAGGCAGAUGUAUGGUGACGAUUAAAUAGCACAAAAGAGGCAUUUUUUUGGUGCAUAUUCAAUGAUCAGGCAGUUUACUGUUCGUAAUUAUCGUGUACGACACUUUCACGCGAUGUAGUUGGACAUUAAUUUCAAGAUUGACACUGAGAUAAUACGUUACGUCAUGACUUCGCUCAAGGACCGACGUUUGUCAUUGCAGAAAUAGAAGUAAAUUGCGAAUUUACGGGUAUCUGAAAAAAGUAGCCGUGGGUGGAAACGAACACACCACGUGUUUUACUCUAACAAUCCAUCCCACUCGUUUCAGCAACUAAUUGGCAAUGUAUUUAAAAUCGCCAGAUUUUUAUACUUUGAUGUCUGUAAAUAUUAAAUAAUGGAACUCCAUUAAUCGUAGUACAAUUCGAUAUUCUAAUUUUUAUUUGAAGUGUUUACGAUAAGUUUUCGAUAUUUGCCUAGAUCAUUCGUUACGCCGAUUAAUUAGUACUUACUAUAAUUAUCUGUUAGAUGCACAAUCUUCGCAUGUAGAAUAUUAAAUACUUCAACAGUUGAUGGUAUUGUCGAGGAUAAAUCUUGAAGUACUCCGUCGAUAUAUGUGUUCGAUAUAUUUUAAGAAAAGAGACUCUCACGUCGUAACAGGCACGUUUCUGUCCUAAAAACGUUCAUAUUAUGAAGACAUCGAUGGAAUACUAACGCUGGACAUUAUUAAACGAUUCCCCUACAAUCACAAAAAAAUUCCAGGACGUUCUUAUUUUUCCUGUCUUCUGUGAAAAAAAUAAAAAUCCACGAGGAGAACGCUGCAUAAUACGUUGGUAUAAUAUAGGAGUGUCUUCGGAUACAAAGUUAUCAGGACGACGAAGAAGAAAACGAGUUAACUGGUGUUAGCCGGUUGAGAGGUCAAUGGAUGAUUAAAAUUCCCGAAGGGUAAUUCGGUGAUAAUCUUGAGAGACUGAUAUCACCCAGUGGUGGUUCGAUUUCUUCCUCGAGCAACGUUACUUCUAUGUUCUUAUUAUUUUAUUUAUUUAAACUCGCAUUUACCUCUGGGUGACUAUUAUAGUAUACAGAUAUAUUACAUAGAUUUGUACAAUACUAUAUUAGACCAGUCUGUUAUUAAGUAAUUACCGACAUUGCAUGUUAUAGCAAAUAUUAUGUCCAUUAUACAAUAUUUACAUUGUAUGAUGGGCAUAUUAUGUAUAACAGACGUCAAUUACGGUGUAUGCUGUUGUUGCUUCACUGUAGCUACGUUAGUUGGACAAGGAUUACGUCGCUUAGGAAUUUCUAGAGAUGUUUCACCACUCCCAUCUUGUCAUGCUGCUGCUUUUUCGGUAGACAACCGUGUGAUGAGCUGCACUUUUGCGUCAACGUCCGAUGAACAUUGCAGUUUACUUCUCGACGACAGACUUGAAUGUUUAAGGAACGUUGGCAUGAAAGUGCAGCUUACCACACGGUUGUCUCCUGAAAAUUCAAAAUCUGUGACAAAACGGAAGUAGCGAAACAUCUUUAUCGCCAAUCAUCGUCAAAGUUUAAAGUUAAUCGAAAUAUAAAAUUUACGUCCUUCUCUAUUAGGCUCGAUUUAACCAGUUACCUGUUUUGGACGAGUAUACUCUUCAGGAAGAAACGACAGUAUUUUGCGUUAUCACGAACCCUAUCAGUAACAAAAUAAAAAAAUAAAACAAUCAUUUCGUUACAACUUAAUUCUCUAUUAUGACAGCCACACAUACUCUGUGUUUGACGAGUAUACUCGUCAUCGCUUACCUUUUGCCACACAUUUUAGGUACACACUUUGCAAAGAGAUCGUAACAGCUAACUGGUUAAAAGACGUUUGUAACGCUAUAUCCUCUAUAUCCGUUUCGAUACUUUUGCAGAUCAAUAAUCAUGUGUUUCGCAGUCUUCUUGCACGUUAUAGACGGACAUGGUCUAUGGUCUUCUGGCUGGUUUCUUUUUACUUGUUUUUUUUCUUUUUUUUUUCGUGAGGCCUAACGGACGUUGGGAUCGACGAGGCCGCUCGCCUCUGGCCUGGCGUGGCCUCCAACCGAGUACCGCUCUUUUGGCAACCGGCCAAAGCUUAUGCCAGGUUUCAACAUACCGGUCGACAUGGAUAUUUUCGGGUUUGCGGUGAAACGACAAGCUCUGCCUUCUCUUUCUUUGCUUCGAUGACCUCGUCGCGUCGUGAAACACCAUCCCUGAUGUCUCGUCCCCAUCCUGAUCUUCUGAUUGACUCCAGCCCCUGCACCCUUUUCGCCAGAUAUCAACGUCGAACCGUCCCAUGAACCAUGCCUGCUUCCGUUUUAUCGAUCAGAGCGUGCCAACCGAACGCCAAGGUCUGCCCCCUUCUGCGUUGAAUCACGCGAAACUUUUCUGAUCCAUUAACGCGUUAAUUGCCGCACUAAAUUUUAUAUAUUUUGCCUAUGGACCGUAAUCAGUCGAUUUUUUAAUAGGCUUCAAGUUAGAAUAUUUUUCAGGACUGGUUUGGUCGUGUGAUGAUGGUUGGAAUAUAAGAUCAUCGUGGUUGUAUAGGAGAUGGCUCGAAAGCGAAAUAUAUUGGUAAUUUAUUGGCAAGUUUAUUGGAUUAUCUUUGGUAAGGGGAAUUGGUUGGUUCUUAGUGGCUGUACUGCGGAUAUUUCUAUAUUUAUGGGGAAUUUUAUGAUAUGGUAGACUAGACAUCGUCAUUUCAGUUUGGGGAAGAACAUAUUAUAAAAAAUUUGAGGAGACAGUGUUUGGUCGGAUAUACAGAAACGAAAUUCAGGCGCUAACUGUUUCUUUAAAAGUUUGAGAAAUUGUUGGUCUGAUAUGUAUAUAGUAUCUCCUGUAAAAUAUACACGAUAUACGUAUAAGAGUAAAAUUCAGACAUUAUUUCACGCGAAGUGAAAAAGAAAGACAAUAGAGAAUAGUGUAUUUAAAUUACGUACAUAUGUAACAAUGAAAAUUUUGUUGGACAGUUAUCUGCUUGGAAUUUAAAGAAACUGAAUAUGAUAUACACUUAAAUAUGUGUAUCUGCGUAAAAUGUAUAUGCGGCUUGAUGCAAGAAGUAACAAUGUCAGCAUUUAUAAAGUUGAGAUGUUAGGACUUAAGGAUACGUUAAAGAAUUCACGUUCAAAUAAUCUCCGAUACAGAAGUUUCUGCUGUUUGGAAAUUUUUUCUAAUACAAAAGGAGAGAAUUUUUUAGUACAGAAGGAUUCUCGUGUAAAAACAAUAAAAGCAAGUAAUUUUUGUAAAUUUGUUUAGACUAGAUAAUAAUUACAUUGUAUCUAAACCUUUUUGGGAUGUAAAUGCAGGCUUGAAGUGCAAAUGUAAUUUUUUAUUUCAAUUCUCCUUGUUGUUUAUUAAUUUUUUAAACUGCCACUUUCAAUGCUUCUCGAACUGUCGUGCACGAAGAACUAGUUGAUUCAUCAAUUUUGAACAAGGUUUACUCACUUUUUACAAAUUUCUCCAGGGAAUGGACCUGAAAUUUUUAUUCCAUUGUCUCUUUAUAAUAUCUUUUAAAACGAUACAAACUCAAUUUAUCCGGCGAAGGAAGUACAUUUUUCUUCUAAACGCUACAACUCUCCAAAUUUUCAUGUUUUUCUUUCAAGUAUAGAUUCAACUUCAGCGCAAAGUAUCUAACUUUGAGAAAAUUCCUUUACUUUUGCAUUGUGACGACCGUGGCAAAUACUAUUACCGCGUGCGUCAACAAUAGUUACAUUGCCAAAUUUAAUCACGAGACUCUUAUAACAUACGAUAAACAAUAAGAAGAACUGAAAUAAACAAACAUAUACUUCAAGAUUAUCUAUUUACAUCCCAAAAAGUUCUAGUACCACAAUAUAACUGAUGUAAAAAGGAAUCCAUAAAAAUGAGUUACUUUCUUCGUUGUUAUUACAAGAAAUCCUUCACUUUAAAGUUUAUGUUGUUCGUGUUUUUCACGUUGAUUUUGGUAUAUUUUGCAAAAAGUUUAUUUUAUCAAAAAUUUCGACAUUGCCAUAUAUAAAUGCCAUUAUAGUCGUUUCCAGAUAAAAUUAAAAAUUGCCUUUUUUCAUAUUGAACAUAUGGUUGUUUACUUAAACU